CUUUCUUUAAAUUUGUUUGUCUUUUAUUUGCUUUGAAUUUCCCUUAUUUCAUUUCUGUGUUUCCUUUGCACAGCUUUUCAGAAUUACUUUUCCAACUCUUCCAAUAAUUUCCCCCCUUUUCCCACACUUCCCUAUUUCUCUUCUUUUCCCUUGCUUUCCCAUCAUUUACCAUCUUUUUUCUCCACCUCGUCCCAUGCUCUCCCAGUUUUUCUGACACUUUGCAUGCCAGCAUCGCUUCCCCCGUCGCGUCACCACCCACCCCAUCCCUGCCCCACAGCUGCUCUGCACCAUACAGGCUCGUCUCGUCCUCUCCUUGAUCCCCUGAGACGAGCACUGAGUCAGCCUCGGGAGCGCAUUGAAGGCAACUCAGCUGUGUGAGCAGAAGGGCUGCAGCCUGGCUGCGCCUCUCCUGGGCCCCACUGAAGGACCGACUGCCUCUGGGGAAGGAUGUCCCAUGUCACAGGGAAACGGGCAGAGAUGGCUGUGCUCUGUGUCAUGUGUUCGUGUGUACGUGUUUUCUGCGUUGAAAUGAGCUGAGAUUGCAACGAUGGUGGAAUACAGAGGGAAGGUUGGGCCCUGGAGGGAGGCAGAGAGAGGAAGGAAUUUCUCGGUUUAAGUGGUUAUCGAGUUUCUCAACAGAAAGCACAAAUAACUCAGCAGCAAGUGACAUUUUGGGAUAUGAGAUUGCAGCUGGACUUCAAGCCUUCAGGACUGUCAGGAAAGAAGCCACCUGCCAAAGCCCUGAGCCACAGCCUGCCAAGGAACUCCGUGCGUUCCCAGAAUGACAGUCAUGCUGACCGUGGAUACGCAGCUACGGAGUGAUGCAUUCUCCUGCAGAAGCUGGCAGCCCGAGACUUGGA